GAGACAUCUGAGGAGGGGAGAAGUGAAUGACCGACGAUAAAGCCUAUUUUCGUAUAGGACAUACCGUGGAGCUUGACGCCUGAUCCGGUGAGCCUCAAUCUCAUCUUGAGGGAGGGUUCCGUCCCGGAGAUAACGGACGAGCCCGUCGAUCCAGCUCGGCUCGAAGUCGAUGCACAUGGUGGGUUCGGGUUCCUCCGUGCUGGGUGUCCGAA
rnacentral:lncRNA from 1 species